rnacentral:lncRNA from 1 species
CUACUUUCACUUUCAACCUCCACCCUUCACUAGUUUCAUCAACUGGUCCAUACCAACACCAUUGCCUCUCUAUACAUCCUUUCUUACCAACCACUCUUCUGCCCCAACCUCACUAAAUUGUCACCAUCUUCUAUCCUUUUUACAAUUUAGAAAUGACCAACCUAGCUUCCACGUUUUAUUCAAACCCGUUUGACUAAGUACCCUCACGUAUUUGCUCAAACCUAUGGUCUUCC